rnacentral:rRNA from 1 species
GACGAACGCUGGCGGCGUGCUUAACACAUGCAAGUCGAGCGGUAAGGCCCUUUCGGGGGUACACGAGCGGCGAACGGGUGAGUAACACGUGGGUGACCUGCCCUCAGCUCUGGGAUAAGCCUGGGAAACUGGGUCUAAUACCGGAUAUGACUCCAUGACGCAUGUUGUGGGGUGGAAAGCCUUGUGCGGCUGAGGAUGGGCCCGCGGCCUAUCAGCUUGUUGGUGGGGUGAUGGCCUACCAAGGCGACGACGGGUAGCCGGCCUGAGAGGGCGACCGGCCACACUGGGACUGAGACACGGCCCAGACUCCUACGGGAGGCAGCAGUGGGGAAUCUUGCGCAAUGGGCGAAAGCCUGACGCAGCGACGCCGCGUGAGGGAUGACGGCCUGGUGUAAC